GUGGGGAAUCUUGCGCAAUGGGCGAAAGCCUGACGCAGCCAUGCCGCGUGAAUGAUGAAGGUCUUAGGAUUGUAAAAUUCUUUCACCGGGGACGAUAAUGACGGUACCCGGAGAAGAAGCUCCGGCUAACUUCGUGUCAGCAGCCGCGGUAAUACGAAGGGGGCUAGCGUUGCUCGGAAUUACUGGGCGUAAAGGGCGCGUAGGCGGACAGCUUAGUCAGAGGUGAAAGCCCAGGGCUCAACCUUGGAAUUGCCUUUGAUACUGGCUGUCUUGAGUUUGGGAGAGGUGAGUGGAACUCCGAGUGUAGAGGUGAAAUUCGUAGAUAUUCGGAAGAACACCAGUGGCGAAGGCGACUCACUGGCCCAAUACUGACGCUGAGGCGCGAAAGCGUGGGGAGCAAACAGGAUUAGAUACCCCAGUAGUCC
rnacentral:rRNA from 1 species